CAUAGUUCUGCAAUGAAAGAGAGCAUUGUUUUCUUGCUUAUUUACAAAGAAAUCUUCAGAGUCUGUAGCUAUAGUCGAAAACAACUUGUGUACAUUUUUACACGGACACAGCUCUUUGCAACUCAGAAGCUGAUUGGAUCCAUACACCCUCCAGGCAGGACUUUGCCAUGAUAAAGAAAACGAAUAUCUAGGACUUACGGAGGAAGCAAAGAUGGACUGAAAAUAACUCCAUGAAAAGUAGAACUGAUGGCCAUGGUGAAGAAUGAAGAGCCAUUUAGUAGACCAGCUUUUUGAAUUUCUCCAAAGAGGAUGGGAGAUUGCCAUUUUUAGAGACAUAAAUUAGAUAAACAAUUUUAACUUGGAGACUAGAGGGAAUUAAACAUUUUAAUUAAAGGAGAAGAAUAAAUAAACUUGAUUGAUAGCUACAGAAUAACAUAAGAUAACAUUGCAAAUACUGAAUGAUACUUUUGAAAAUGGAAUCAGAAGUUCAUAUCAAUAGCAAUGUUUGUUCCUAUGGAUAGAUUGUGUCCAAAAGAUGUUUUUGAAGAAAUGGCAGAAGAAGAAGUUUUAUUUUACAAAACAAAUUUUAUCUUAUAGAGUUGAUACUGACAGUGUGUUUACUAAUAAAAGGCUACAAAAAUGAUAUGGAAAAAAAAGAUAUUUCAAUGAACACAUAAAAGAAACUGGUUGAUACUUUAAAAAUCAAAUGGGAAUUAUAAAUCUUAAACCAAGAGAGUCACCUGGAUAGUUCUUUUAUAUUGGAUUUACAAAAGAGGUUUGUUAAAGCUUGAAUGGAUCUUGUAAGAAGAAGUAAAAAAAGAAAUUUUAAAAAAUCAAGUUCUACAACAUUACUUAAAUGGACUAAAGAUCUGAUCAAAGUUAAAAAGUUGAUCAAAUUGAUGAAGAUUAAAAGUUGAUGAUGGUUGAAAUAGAUAUAAAACAGGACAUGGUAUGAAGAGAUCAUUGGUUAUAAAUUAAGAUGAGAUGAAAAGUUACUAAAAUUGUUUCUAUUUUUUCUUUGUCGUUAGAUACUCCUUUCUUUCUUUCUUUCUUUCU